rnacentral:rRNA from 1 species
UGGUGGGUUGCCUUGUCAGGUUGAUUCCGGUAACGAACGAGACCUCAGCCUGCUAAAUAGGCGCGUCUGCUCGCGCAGGCGACGACUUCUUAGAGGGACUGUUGGCAUCUAGCCAGCGGAAGUAUGAGGCAAUAACA